GAUGAACGCUGGCGGCGUGCUUAACACAUGCAAGUCGAACGGUGAAGGCGGAGCUUGCUCUGCUGGAUCAGUGGCGAACGGGUGAGUAACACGUGAGCAACCUGCCCCUGACUUUGGGAGAAGCGCUGGAAACGGCGCCUAAUACUGGAUCCGAGCUGCGAAGGCAUCUUCAGCAGCUGGAAAGAACUGCGGUCAGGGCUGAGCUCGCGGCCUAUCGGCUUGCUGGUGAGGUAGCGGCUGACCAAGGCAUCGACGGGUAGCCGGCCCGGGAGGGUGGCCGGCCACCCUGGGACUAAGGCACGGCGCAGACUCCAACGGGGGGCAGAGGUCGGGAGUAUUGCACAGUGAGCGCAAGCCUGAUGCGGCGGCGCCGCGUUUGGGACGACCGCCUUCGGGUUAUAAACCUCUUUUAGCAGGGAAGAAGCGAAAGUGACGGUACCUACAGAAAAAGCGCCGGCUAACUACGUG
rnacentral:rRNA from 1 species